rnacentral:tRNA from 1 species
ACUUUAAAGGUGUAAAACAUAUUAUAUUUUCACUAUAAAGUCGGCUUAGCCUUAGAGUA